AUAUAUCUCUCCCAUCUCGUUCGAGUGAUGGAAAAGAAAAUAGAGUGAGAAUGGGGAGGCGGAGGAGUGGGGCUCCCGAGGCAGAAGGACCCAGGCGAUCGAUGCCCGCUUUCCACCACCCAUCUCCUGCCCCUCCUCUCACUACCCACCCCUACCCUUCCCUCCCCCUUUAUAAAUAUCCAACCCCCGCUUCCCGAAUCACCUCACCGCACUAAAACCAGUCUCACAAACAUAAACCAACACAAGUCCUCUGCUCCUCCUCUCUCUCUCUCUCUCUCUCUCUCGUUUUCUCUGCCGAUUUCUCUCACACCCUGUUCUCACCCUCUUUCUACACCAAAACCAUUCCAGUGCACUUCUAUAAAACCUACCAAGAAGAAGGGAAAAGCGAUCCAGAUUCAGGGAAGAAGAGUAGUAUAGAUCUAUGGAGCUGUACAUGGACGAGAAAUGGAAGCUUCCGAAGAAGGGGAGCAGGAGUAGCAGCUGCAGCUCGAGCAGGAGGGUGGUGGUGGGCGAAGGCGGGCCCUUCCUCAAGGAGUCCGCGAGUAUGAGAGAGGGGAAGGCGAGCUCGGGCUCGCUGCGGUCCUUCUCAAGCCGGUGCGCCAGCCUCGUAAAAGAACAGAGGGCCAGGUUCUACAUCAUGCGCCGCUGCGUCAUCAUGCUCAUCUGCUGGCGAGACUACCCUUAACAUCGUUCAACAAACACUUGUUCAUUCCCUUCUCAACGCCGAGAAGGAAGGAACGAAGCAAGGAAGCAAGAAGGUCGGAAGAUAGAUAGAGAGAGAGCGCGCCAGAGAUGAAAGUAGAGAUCGGACGUGUUCUUUUUCUUGUACAUAGUUUGUAUGUUGUUAUUUUUACCUUGUUUUGGGUAGUUAGUUACCAGUGAUUUCGGAGAGAUUUUCGGGUCUCUCAUUUGAGGUGCGGGGAGAUGGAUGGAUCUGCUGUGAUCUCUGGUGGCGACACGAUGUGAAAGCCGGAAAUGGGAAGGGAAGGUGAAACUGUGGAAGAGAAUAGAGAGUUAUAUGAUAGGUUUUUUCUCCGUUGGCAUCCGUUUGGGAAAUCAAUAGAUUUUUGGGUGCUCCGCCCACUCCUUACUGUACUCUUUUUCCCUUGUUUUUGGCUACCUCUUCUGUUGCUUGAUUCAAACCAGGGAUUGAUUGAUUGAUGGAUGUGAGAGAGAGAGAGUAAAAGAAGAGAGGAGGAGACAAAAUUGAAUGAAUGAAUGAGGAUGAGGGUGUUGGUGAUGGCAUCACUCUGCCUACGGCUCUGCCGAGACCGGCGUGACGCACUGACACGUUGAAUUAUUGCACUUCGUAAUUAGUUAAUUCAUUUAUUUAUUUAUCCAAAUAAGAUACAUUAUUUCUUUUAGUACAAUAAUACGACAAAAUAUUAAUGUGCUUCGUCGCUUCAACGUACGCGAGUGAAACAAAGUAAAUGGAGUGGAA
rnacentral:lncRNA from 1 species